AGCGUGUGAGUGAUUUGCCGAAGAUCAUGCAGUCUAAGAGCUAGGGCUGGGCUUGGAGCUGCCUGGCUCCAGAGUCCUGUGCCCAGUAACAAACUGUGCCUGCUGUUGGAGUCAGGGCCCUGGCUGUGUGCCGGGCGGGGCUCUGACACCCAGAGUCUUACUCCGCUCAGCUCCAGGGACUCAGCUGAGGGGCCAGUCCAUUCCCCUCGCCUCUCCAGAUGGGGAAGGUGGCCCCUGGCAGAAAUGGCUGAAGUUUGUUCCUUCCCACAUCAUUACUGGCCUGGGGAAGUCCAGUGACCCCAGGCGGGGAUCUAAGCCAGGCAUCACCAGCAAGGUGGCUGUGAGCCCUGGAACAACAGCCCAGGUGAGGUGGGAGAAACUGGUCCUGCCUCAGCCUCUCACUGCCACCUCACCCUCCCGUGGCACUGCCACCCCCAAAGGUGCAGAUGUGGCCACGGAUGCCUAGAGUCAGGUGGCUAGGAGGGGAGUGGGAGCACCCAGGAAGGUGCCAAGUGGUCACCGUGGUGCUGCCACAGGAGAUGAAUCACUGAGACCUUCUGGGAGGACUCAUUGGGUGAAAAGCAUCGAAGCCUUUCAGAGUGUGCAAACUCACAAAAACAAGCAAAACAAACCCCACAACAUUCCUCUGUUUGCUAUUUACAAGAGACAUCACCUUAAUUAUGAGAGCACAAGUUGAUUGACAAGAAAGGAAUAGAAAAAGAUAGUCCUGCAAACUGUAAGAAAGCUGAAAUGGUUGUAUUAGUAUCAGACUGAGCAGACUGAGACAGGAAGCAUUAUAGGCAACAAAGGGGGGGCAUUUUGAAUAACAGAAGGGACAGCUCACAGGAAGACUUAGAACCCCGAAAUAAAACAUGCGUGCACCUAACACAGAGCUUCAAAAUACAGGAAGCCAAACUGGCAGA
rnacentral:lncRNA from 10 species